ensembl:lncRNA
CAAAGUGUUUCAAGGUGGUUUCGAAUUUAUUUUCUUCCUGCAAAUGUGUAUGAAUAUCCAAUUAGUCUGUCAGACACUGGAGAUACCAGGGUGUGUAGGAAAGGGCAACUACUUUUGAGGAGUCCAGAGUCACCUAAAUAACCAAAUACCAGAGAGAACGUGGUGUAGUUGACCAAUCUAGUGAGACAGACUUGGGUUCAAAUCCUGGCUCUGCAUGCGCUAGUUUUGUAAUCUUGGGCAAGUGAUUUAUUAUUAAUAUUUUUCAUAUCCUUUCAGCAGGGCUGACAAUAAUGUUAAUUCAUAGGUUGUUUGAGGAUUAAAUGUGAUAACUGAUGUAAAGCCCUUGGAAGACUGCCCAGCACAUGGCAAACCUUGGAUGAAGGUGACUGCUACAACAAUUUAACAGCUGUGCAAUCUUGGGCAGGUGAUAUUGCUGCAUCUGUUUACAUACGUGGAAGAUGCGGAUGGCAGCACGAUGACUCAUCGUGACUCUUCAACUGCAAGACUUUUUGUUGUUUGCAUGUGACUACAAGGCAUGGUACUGCUCAGAGCCUGUCCCAGCGCUCCUGGGUGAUGAAUCUGUGCGGAACGAAUAUGUGAAUUCCAUGUUUCACUGCUGCAACCUCAUCACGUCCUCAGAAUAAAUGUGAGAAAUAGGCAUUAUGAUCUCCACUCAGCCAAUGAAGAAAUUGAGAGGUUGCUGGUUCAAAGCGCACGGAGCGGCCAGUCGAUUUAUUGCUGUACAGGAAAAGGAAUGGCAUACAGAAGACUCCCCAGAAGAUUCUCAACAAGCAGAGUCAAUUACUUGGGAGAACACUGCCUUGCAAGUCUUAGCGUCUCAGAAUAAGAAAGUCAUGGGAGGGUGUCUAUAGAGAUUUAGGGCCUGGACAGUUUUGACAUAAUAGUUGUAGAUUGGUGGGAAUAUCCAGGCCAGGGUUUUGAAGUGAGUUUUGGUGAGCAAGUGUUAUUCUCGAUUAAUAAGCUAUUUAGUUGAUUCCGAGUCUUAUCUCCCAGGAGAAGGAUAUUCCUGGAGCAGGAAACUCUUUCUGCCUUUUCCUGUAUUGUUUAGCACAGGCACAAGAAAGUGUACUAGCUUCAGUAUUGUUCAACAGAUCUUGGGAAAUCAUCUUGGCUUCAGUUCUCGAGAAGGAUAAAUUGCUUGCACUGAGAUAAAAAUGUAGAACGUGACCUCUAGGACUAACUCAAGAUUACGUAUGCAAUCGCCACCAAUUUCAAAUUCCAGUGCAAUUGCCUUUCAAGAACUCCAAAUGCCUCAUUUUUGUAAACUUCCACCCAGACAUGAUGUGCUGAGCUGAUGGGCUCCAUGACAAGGUGAAGACACUCAAGAAUGAGCCUUUAGAGACCAGCUGUUUAACACAGUGGUCAAAGUUCCUAGAGUACACAAACUCCUGGGAGGAUCAUGGGUAAGAACGUUGAGUUCAUCUUCAUUUCCUUUAGACACCAGCGACCAUCAGGGCUAAAAGUAAUAAUUUGUCUCUAAAAAUAAAGAAAAUUGUAUUUUUUAGCAUACCUGCUCUUGUGCCCUGAGUUUGUUCAAAAUGUGUGUGUGUGCAUGUGCAUGUGUGUGCGUGUGCGUGUGUGUGCGUGUGUGUGUUCUUAGCUUGGAUUGCCCUGAAAGCAGACCUGUGACAGAGAUGUGAGUGCAGGUAAUUCACCUGGGUGAUCUCAGAACACCAGGAGUGGAGUAGGAAAGAGUGAGCAGGGAGGAAGCAAUCCAGGCUGCAGCAUGAAGCAUGGAGGGAGG